rnacentral:rRNA from 1 species
UGGCUCAGGAUGAACGCUGGCGGCAUGCCUAAGACAUGCAAGUCGUACGAAGGGGCCCAAUGAAAGGAAUUGAAAUUCAGAGUGCUUGCACAAAGAAUGGAUUUUCUUGGAUUUGGAUUUUCCCCUUAGUGGCAAACGGGUGAGUAACACGUGGGUUACCUACCUCUAAGAUGGGGAUAACAGUUGGAAACGACUGAUAAUACCGAAUGUGCUCUACGGAGUAAAGAAGCCCUUAAAGCUUCGCUUAGAGAUGGGCCUGCGGCGUAUUAGCUAGUUGGUGGGGUAAUGGCCUACCAAGGCGACGAUGCGUAGCCGAACUGAGAGGUUGAUCGGCCACACUGGGACUGAGACACGGCCCAGACUCCUACGGGAGACAGCAGUUAGGAAUAUUCGUCAAUGGAGGAAACUCUGAACGAGCAAUGCCGCGUGAACGAUGACGGCCCUAUGGGUUGUAAAGUUCUGUUGUUUGGAAAGAACGAUAGAUAGAGGAAAUGCUAUCUAUGUGACGGUACCAUUCAAGAAAGCCACGGCUAACUACGUGCCAGCAGCCGCGGUAAUACGUAGGUGGCGAGCGUUAUCCGGAUUUAUUGGGCGUAAAGGGUGCGCAGACGGUUUAUUAAGUCUAAAAUCAAAUCUUGGGGCUCAACCCCAUUCCGUUUUAGAAACUGGUAGACUUGAGUAUGGUAGAGGCAAAUGGAAUUCCUAGUGUAGCGGUGGAAUGCGUAGAUAUUAGGAGGAACACCAGUGGCGAAGGCGAUUUGCUGGGCCAUUACUGACGUUCAGGCACGAAAGCGUGGGGAGCAAAUAGGAUUAGAUACCCUAGUAGUCCACGCCGUAAACGAUGAGUACUAAGUGUCGGGUUACCGGUGCUGAAGUUAACACAUUAAGUACUCCGCCUGAGUAGUACGGUCGCAAGGCUGAA